GCCUAAUACAAUGCAAGUCGAGCGAAUGGAUUAAGAGCUUGCUCUUAUGAAGUUAGCGGCGGACGGGUGAGUAACACGUGGGUAACCUGCCCAUAAGACUGGGAUAACUCCGGGAAACCGGGGCUAAUACCGGAUAACAUUUUGAACCGCAUGGUUCGAAAUUGAAAGGCGGCUUCGGCUGUCACUUAUGGAUGGACCCGCGUCGCAUUAGCUAGUUGGUGAGGUAACGGCUCACCAAGGCAACGAUGCGUAGCCGACCUGAGAGGGUGAUCGGCCACACUGGGACUGAGACACGGCCCAGACUCCUACGGGAGGCAGCAGUAGGGAAUCUUCCGCAAUGGACGAAAGUCUGACGGAGCAACGCCGCGUGAGUGAUGAAGGCUUUCGGGUCGUAAAACUCUGUUGUUAGGGAAGAACAAGUGCUAGUUGAAUAAGCUGGCACCUUGACGGUACCUAACCAGAAAGCCACGG
rnacentral:rRNA from 1 species